UACAGAGGUCCCAAGCGUUGGUCGGAUUCACUGGGCGUAAAGGGUGCGUAGGUGGUGAGGUAAGUCGGAUGUGAAAGCUCGGAGCUCAACUCCGAAAUGGCAUUGGAAACUACCUUGCUCGAGGGUUGGAGGGGGGACUGGAAUACUUGGUGUAGCAGUGAAAUGCGUAGAUAUCAAGUGGAACACCAGUGGCGAAGGCGAGUCCCUGGACAACUCCUGACACUGAGGCACGAAAGCUAGGGGAGCAAACAGG
rnacentral:rRNA from 1 species